rnacentral:rRNA from 1 species
UACGGGGGGGGCAAGCGUUGUUCGGAAUUACUGGGCGUAAAGGGCUCGUAGGCGGCCAACUAAGUCAGACGUGAAAUCCCUCGGCUUAACCGGGGAACUGCGUCUGAUACUGGAUGGCUUGAAUCCGGGAGAGGGAUGCAGAAUUCCAGGUGUAGCGGUGAAAUGCGUAGAUAUCUGGAGGAAUACCGGUGGCGAAGGCGGCAUCCUGGACCGAGAUUGACACUGAUGAGCGAAAGCUAGGGGAGCAAACGGG